rnacentral:rRNA from 3 species
CUCGGUGACUUGAGCGAGGAAAUCACACCCGAUCCCAUCCCGAACUCGGCCGUUAAGAUCCUCAGCGCUGAUGGUACUGUGUCUCAAGACCCGGGAGAGUAGGUCGUUGCCGGGC